ensembl:snoRNA
GAGCAUGAUUCCAAGGGCUGUGUCUAGUUGCGGCCAAGGGACUUCCUACUGUGUGUGAAAGCAACUUGGAGAGCUUCUGACAGCCUGGGUCAGCAGCAUAAAAUCUGCAGCUUAAUGCACCUUUUUUAAAAUA